rnacentral:rRNA from 1 species
GACGAACGCUGGCGGCGUGCUUAACACAUGCAAGUCGAACGGGGAAGCGCCUUCCUUUUUGGUGGGUGUGGAGGAGUGGCGAACGGGUGAGUAACACGUGAGGAACCUGCCCCCUUCUUCGGGAUAACCGCAUGAAAGUGUGGCUAAUACGGGAUAUUCUGGGUCUGUCGCAUGAUGGGUCUGGGAAAGAUAUUGUUUCGGGGGGGGAGGGUAUCGCGGCCUAUCAGCUUGUUGGUGGGGUGAUGGGCUACCAAGGCGGUGACGGGUAGCCGGCCUGAGAGGGUGGACGGUCACACGGGGGCUGAGACACGGCCCAGGCUCCUACGAGAGGCAGCAGUGGCUAAUAUUGCACAAUGGGCGCAAGCCUGAUGCAGCGACGCCGCGUGAGGGAUGGAGGCCUUCGGGUUGUGAACAUCUUUCGCCAGUGAAGAAGGCCUGCCUCGUUUGUGGGUGGGUUGACGGUAGCUGGAUAAGAAGCGCCGGCUAACUACGUG